UCCGCCAUUUUUCUUUUUUCGAGGUAAAUCAAGGUCUUAAAUAAUUAAUCUUUCCCUUUUCCGUAAUAAUAUAGUACUUAUAACCCGGAAGAUUUCUCUCGCCCCCUCGAGUGUCAGUGCAAUCCCGGCGUGUACACAAUUGUGUUCAAAUUCCGUGGAAGUUGCCACCGUGUGGAAAGCGUUAAGCGGAUAGAAAGUUUUCUUUUUCUUUUAACGAAUUUGUUAUUGUGUUUUUUUUGUUUUGUUUAGUUGAACGUAUCAGGGCUGGUGUAGGUUGGCUAAACACUUUCUACAGCAAUGGAUUCCUACCGGAAUCCGUCGAGGUCGCUGUCCUUUGCUGCUUGCAUCAGCUUUAUAGACUCUCUUUACUAUGGUUGGUGGUAAUAGUCUAUUGCCACUUUGGAUAUCUAGGAAUUCAGCACAGAAAAUAACCUUGGUAAGAGGAAAUGAUGAACAGAUAAAGAAGAAAAAAAACGUCCUUAACUUGAGAAGAAAUCGAUCCCUGGAAAAAAGCACAAGGAGCAUGCAAAUUCAAUAAUGAAUAAUGAAUAACAUACGAUAUCAAUCGGCCAUGAAUCGAAGCCUUUGAUGACCGGUAGAAAGAUACGGAAUUAAAAAAACGGACCGUCUUCCCACUUCCGUCAUGAUUUGACCUCUCUCAUCGAGUCAAGUGUGUCAACAAACCGUCCCGGUCUCUCUUUCUGUUUGAUGAUAAUCAAAGCCAUUCCUCCUUCACUUUUACGUUUGGAAAAAGAAACUAGACUUAAAAAAAAAAAAUUGUUUUUAUCAGAUUGUUUUUUUGUUUUUUUCACGAACUUUUGGAAAAAGACAUAGACGCCAUCUACAAUCUAGAAACUAAACAAGAAAGUAAUGUUGUAUUCAAACAAUCAUCAGUCAAUGCCAUGUUAUGAAAACAAAUUAAAAAAAAAAGAAAAAAAGAUUAUUCUUAUAUGUUAGGUUGUAUCGCCAAGCGAGAAAAAAAGUUAUUGAUGGCCAUAAAGGCAACUUCUAGGGGAAGCAAGAAAAUAUGACACUCGCUUCAAUUUCUUUUUGUUUUGCCUUUUUUUUUUUAAAAGAGCACAAAGCUUUUUGGGAAUAAACGGGAUCACCAAAGAAGAAAACAAACUGUCUAGUUCAGGGAGAAAAAAAAAAUCAAUCAAAAACAAAAUUAAAGAAAAAGAUGAUGACGUUCGAUGUCAAAGAAGAUCGAAAUCGCCUACUCCAUCUAUUGGACUUGAUGGCAAAAAACAAAAAAACAUCGCAACUCAAACAGGUUG